CAAUCUUUAUAGGAUCGUAAAGUGAGCGUUUGUUACUCGACGGCCAUCCUAUUUACUCCCAUCAAUCUUGUACAAAACACCGAAUUGACAGUCACUGAUGAAUGGCAAAAUCUCAAGGAGGAGUCGAAAGAAAGAUAAACAAAGUGGAAACCAAGUUUUUUUACCAAAACAAAUUUUUGCUGAUAAUCAGAUGCAGGAAAACGAUCGAAAUUCUUCCAAGGUGGAAGAAUCAAAACUUAUUUUGACCAAAGAAUUGGAAGAGACCCAAAAAACUCUGGAAAACGAGACACUAGCCUCCAACCAAACGACUCAAAGCUUAGCU